GACGAACGCUGGCGGCGUGCUUAACACAUGCAAGUCGAACGAAGAAGCAGAGAUACGCGGGCUUCGGUUCAAGUCUCACUUCGGAUUAGUGGGAGACGGGUGAGUAACGCGUGAGCAACCUACCUCUUACAAAGGGAUAGCCUCCGGAAACCGUGCUUAAUACCAUUUGACACAUUCAUAAGGCAUCUUAAGAAUGUUAAAGCCGCGGCGGUAAGGGAUGGGCUCGCGUCGCAUUAGCUAGUUGGUGCGGUAACGGCAAACCAAGGCGACGAUGGGGAACCGAGCGGGGAGGGUGAACGGUCAGAUUGGAACUAAGACACGGUCUAAUCUCCGACGGGGGGGUGCAGUGGGGAGUAUUGCGGGAUGGAGGGAGCUCUAGUGCAGCGGCGCCGCGUGAGCGAUGAAUGGAGUCGUAAAGUGAAGUUCUGUUUUAUGAGAAGAAAAGGACGGUACUGGAUAAGAAAGCCCCGGCUAAAUACGUG
rnacentral:rRNA from 1 species